CCUACGGGAGGCAGCAGUGAGGAAUAUUGGUCAAUGGUCGCGAGACUGAACCAGCCAAGUAGCGUGAAGGAUGAAUGUCCUAAGUGUUGUAAACUUCUUUUAUCAAGGAAUAAAGUGGGGCCCGUGUGCCCUUUUGUAUGUACCUUAUGAAUAAGGAUCGGCUAACUCCGUGCCAGCAGCCGCGGUAAUACGGAGGAUGCGAGCGUUAUCCGGAUUUAUUGGGUUUAAAGGGAGCGUAGAUGGGUUGUUAAGUCAGUGGUGAAAGUUUGCGGCUCAACCGUAAAAUUGCCGUUGAUACUGGCAGUCUUGAGUACAGUAGAGGUAGGCGGAAUGCGUGGUGGAGCGGUGAAAUGCUUAGAUAUCACGAAGAACUCCGAUUGCGAAGGCAGCAUGCUAGCCUGACACUGACACUGAUGCUCGAAAGUGUGGGUAUCAAACAGGAUUAGAUACCCUAGUAGUC
rnacentral:rRNA from 1 species